rnacentral:rRNA from 1 species
UGGGAAUAUUGCACAAUGGGGGGAACCCUGAUGCAGCAACGCCGCGUGAGCGAUGAAGGUCUUCGGAUUGUAAAGCUCUGUCUUCGCUGACGAUAAUGACGGUAAGCGAGGAGGAAGCCACGGCUAACUACGUGCCAGCAGCCGCGGUAAUA